rnacentral:rRNA from 1 species
GACCCUAUAGAGUUUAAUAUUUAAUUAAUAAAUUAUUUUUUAGAAUUUAAUAUUAAUUUAUUAAUUAAUUAUUUGAUUGGGGUGAUUGAAAAAUUUAAGUAACUUUUUUUAUAUAAAAACAUUAAUUUAUGAUUGCUUGAUCCAUUUUUUAUGAUUAUAAGAUUAAAUUACCUUAGGGAUAACAGCGUAAUUUUUUUUAAGAGUUCAAAUCGAAAAAAAAGAUUGCGACCUCGAUGUUGGAUUAAAAUUUAUUUUUGGUGUAGAAGCUAAAUUUAUUGGGUCUGUUCGACCUUUAAAAUUUUACAUGAUCUGA